CACAGGUUUACCUGUGUGACUGCGUACCUUUUGUAUAAUGGGUCAGCGACUUAUAUUCUGUAGCAAGGUUAACCGUAUAGGGGAGCCGUAGGGAAACCGAGUCUUAACCGGGCGUUAAGUUGCAGGGUAUAGACCCGAAACCCGGUGAUCUAGCCAUGGGCAGGUUGAAGGUUGGGUAACACUAACUGGAGGACCGAACCGACUAAUGUUGAAAAAUUAGCGGAUGACCUGUGGCUGGGGGUGAAAGGCCAAUCAAACCGGGAGAUAGCUGGUUCUCCCCGAAAGCUAUUUAGGUAGCGCCUCGUGAAUUCAUCUCCGGGGGUAGAGCACUGUUUCGGCUAGGGGGCCAUCCCGGCUUACCAACCCGAUGCAAACUGCGAAUACCGGAGAAUGUUAUCACGGGAGACACACGGCGGGUGCUAACGUCCGUCGUGAAGAGGGAAACAACCCAGACCGCCAGCUAAGGUCCCAAAGUCAUGGUUAAGUGGGAAACGAUGUGGGAAGGCCCAGACAGCCAGGAUGUUGGCUUAGAAGCAGCCAUCAUUUAAAGAAAGCGUAAUAGCUCACUGGUCGAGUCGGCCUGCGCGGAAGAUGUAACGGGGCUAAACCAUGCACCGAAGCUGCGGCAGCGAACGUAUCACCCAAGACAACUUUACGGAGUUGACGAUUGACGGAGCGAAGCGACGUCAAAGCGUUCAUUAAAGUCGAGUUGGCUUAGGGAUACGUUCGUUGGGUAGGGGAGCGUUCUGUAAGCCUGUGAAGGUGUGUCGUGAGGCAUGCUGGAGGUAUCAGAAGUGCGAAUGCUGACAUAAGUAACGAUAAAGCGGGUGAAAAGCCCGCUCGCCGGAAGACCAAGGGUUCCUGUCCAACGUUAAUCGGGGCAGGGUGAGUCGACCCCUAAGGCGAGGCCGAAAGGCGUAGUCGAUGGGAAACGGGUUAAUAUUCCCGUACUUGGUGUUACUGCGAAGGGGGGACGGAGAAGGCUAUGUUGGCCGGGCGACGGUUGUCCCGGUUUAAGCGUGUAGGUGUGUGUUCCAGGUAAAUCCGGUUCACUUUAACACUGAGGCGUGACGACGAGGCACUACGGUGCUGAAGCAACAAAUGCCCUGCUUCCAGGAAAAGCCUCUAAGCAUCAGGUAACACGAAAUCGUACCCCAAACCGACACAGGUG
rnacentral:rRNA from 1 species